UAGUUAGUUGUUGUUCUCCUUUCUGCCCCCUGUGGUUUAGUAGUGGUCUCUCCCUCUGCCCCUGUAGGUUAGUUGUGGCCUCUCCCUCUGCCCCCUGUAGGUUAGUUGUGGCCUCUCCCUCUGCCCCCUGUAGGUUAGUAGUGGUCUCUCCCUCUGCCCCUUGUAGGUUAGUUGUGGCCUCUCCCUCUGCACCCUGUAGGUUAGUUGUGGUCUCUCCCUCUGCCCCUUGUAGGUUAGUUGUGGCUCUCCCUCUGCACCCUGUAGGUUUAUUGUGGUCUCUCCUCUGCACCCUGUAGGUUAGUUGUGGCCUCUCCCUCUGCCCCUUGUAGGUUAGUUGUGGCCUCUCCCUCUGCACCCUGUAGGUUAGUUGUGGCCUCUCCUUCUGCACCCUGUAGGUUAUUGUGGCCUC
rnacentral:lncRNA from 1 species